rnacentral:rRNA from 1 species
UACGAAGGGGGCUAGCGUUGUUCGGAAUUACUGGGGGUAAAGGGACGGUAGGCGGAUUGGCAAGUUAGGGGUGAAAUCCCAGGGCUCAACCCUGGAACUGCCUUUAAUACUGCCAAUCUAGAGUUCGAGAGAGGUGAGUGGAAUUCCGAGUGUAGAGGUGAAAUUCGUAGAUAUUCGGAGGAACACCAGUGGCGAAGGCGGCUCACUGGCUCGACACUGACGCUGAGGUGCGAAAGCGUGGGGAGCAAACAGG